rnacentral:lncRNA from 1 species
AAAAUUAAAUUUAAAAAAUAUAAUACAUUGCCCCUAGGUAAAAACAGUGAGACAUAACAAAUAGCACCUCGAAAUAAAAAAUAAAUUAAAAAAAAAAUAGAACCUUGAUUCUCCAGGAGAGAGAAUCCAUCUUUCCUGUUCAAAGAACUCGUUUUCUAAUGACAAUCCCUUAAGCUGGUCAACUGCCUAACCUGAUCGAACAGCUCACUUUAUCUCCUGAUGUCUUUUUAGGUAUAGAGAGAGCAGACAGCUAUAUAAAUUCACACUCUGUCCAAUUCAGUAUCCAAUGUCUAUUUGAUGACUGACUGUGAGGGGUUUUUAAACAUUAUCAAUCCUAUUCUUGGGUCUCUGGCUAUCUUCCCCUAUACUAUCUGUUUGCAGUUAUCUUAAAUCUUUAAAAAGACAAUCUUUCUAGUAUGGUAAAGGAAAAACAGCUUUUUUAUUUAGUUAUAGGACACUUUCAUCAUGCACUGCUUCAAAUUCUAAGCUUAACAGAAAAAUGCUGUUACCAAAAGUUUAGAAACCAAAUUGAUCUGCACCAUUUCAGUUUCCAACUCUUCCCUGACCACACUGGAAAACAACAUUUACUGUUAUUCCUUUAUAUAGUGUGACCACAAGAAACUACGUCUGUUCUUAAAAAUGUUCAAGUGUCACCUAAAACUUCAUUCUCCCCUUCUUCUCUCUUGACGAAAACAAUCUCACAACUAUGUCAGAGGGAGAAGAAGACCAUCAGCUCAAAGCAUCUUCAAAUGACCAUUUCAAACUACUUUUCCUUUUUUUUAUUCAUUCCUCCAAGGAGUACCUCAUCAGAUGUGACCCUAUAGAUAUUCUAUCAUAAUCUUAUUUUAUUGACAAGGAAGUUAUUGCUGAAGAAGGAGAAAACUUGAAUCUUUUCUCCCUCUCUGGUUUUCUUUUUAAUAAUAUCAACAUCACUAAGACCUAUUGUUACUAAAACGCAACAGUGUGUUUUAAUAGAAAGAGCAAACACGAUUUGAAUAGGAACUAAUUCUCUGAAAUUUGAAAAUCAAGCCCACUUCAUUAUCAUAUUCAUUGUGGCUAUCCCUAAUGAUUCAAUAACUAGCCUCUUGGCUUCUAUGCUUUUUCCAUGGCUCUGAGUCUCUCUUUUCCCCCCUCCCCCUGUGCAUCGCUCACAUGACAUGUGAUCGGGCCUGGAGAUCUGGCAGAUCUUGACCAAUGGCCCUUGACACAGCUUAUGAGUAUUUAAGCUGUUAAUUUACUAGAUCAAAGAAUGGAAAAAGCUACAGGCCAUACCCCUAAUGUUCUUCAUCAAAAGCAAGUAUGCAAGAACAGAGUAUGAUGAUUUGAAAACAGCACAAACUUCACUUAUUUCAUUAAAGCAAUGUGAACCGACAAAAGGGAUUAAGUGGAGAACUAUUUCCAAGGAUAAAAAGGAUCCACGAGAGUGUACAGAUACCUAAUAUAGAAAGAGAUAAAUAUUAAUUUAGAACUAGGAUAGGCAUUUUAAAAAAAAUGGUGUGUUCUAGAUGCAUUUAUCUAAAAUUAGGUGAGGUCAACUUUUGUUUAUUUAUCAUUUGUCAUUAGUUUAAAUGUCAAAUAGCUGUGUCCUUCUUUAUUAAUGAAACUCUGAUAAUAAAAUAUUUUUUAGAAGUGAUAUCUCUUCUAUUAUUUAUUCAGGACAUCAUUAAGAAUAGCAUAUUUGGACAAUGACAACUGUGUCUGGUUGUAAUAUCUUUGCCAAACGUGGUGACACCACAACAUAAAUUAGAUUUGACAUGUGAUUAUUCUGAAGUUCUUUUCUUUUCCCCCACUUUAUUUCUAUUUAAACAACUGUGGAAGAGUAAAAUAAAAAUGUGUAAACAAUUUAUUCUAGAACACUUGUAGGAAAUCUUUCUUAAUGUUGGCUGCAUUUUUCUGUUCAUUUGCCCCAUGAAAUGCAAUAGUGAUGUUGGAUAAAGAACUGCAUGUGUCAGUACUAUUUUAGCCAUUAUGCCUGUAGGUGUAAUUAGAUUUUCUCAUUUGAAAUCCAUGUUAUUAUGUGCGCUCGUGGCAUGGCACUCCUGUGAGCAAUCAUCACUGAAUGUCUACAAUAGGCUUAUAAUGAGACACAUAUUUAUAUUAGCACAGUAUUUUUUUUUUUCCAAUUGAAGUCACAGUCUUUCUCAGACCUCUAGGUUGAAAAAAGUUUAUGCUUUCUCUGAACAUCCUGUAUGAUCCUAUGAUACAUCCCCACGUGCCAAUAACAAAUUUUUUGGAUAAAAGCAAAUCUUGUAAGUGUUCAUAAAUAAUAGUGUAUUUAUUAGUGCAUACACAUAAAUAAUACUGCAUAUUAUGAGUAAGUAUGAAUGGGAGGCGCCUAGAUUGUUUUUUUAAAAAGUAAUUAAAGAUGAACUAUAUCUAGAAUAUAUCCAGAAAUUUCCAUUAUAAUUAGUUAAGAAAAAAAAGCUGAUGGUUUUUGAAGUUUAAAAGAUUUAUGAUAUCUGGAGUUCUCAUCGUCGUGGCACAGAAGAAACAAAUCCGACCAGGAACCCUGAAGUUGAGGGUUUGACCCCUGGCCUCGCUCAGUGGGUUAAGGAUCCGGCGUUGCCGUGAGCUGUGGUGCAGGUUGCAGACGCGGCUCGGAUCUGGCGUUGCUGUGACUGUGGUGUAGGCCAGUGGUACAGCUCUGAUUAGACUCCUAGCCUGGGAAUCUCCAUAUGCCAUAGGUGCGGUCCUCAAAAGACAAAAGACAAAAAAAAAAAAAAAAGAUUUAUGAUAUCAAUAGCAAAAUACAAAUAAUUUAAUUUAAAAAUGGUCAGAGGAUCUGAUUAGACAUUUUUCUAAAGAAGAUGUACAGGUGGCCAACACACACACACACACACACACGCAAAUGAAAUGCUCAACCUCAUUAAUCAUAAAGGAAAUGUAAAUUAGAACACAAUUCACAGACUGGGAGAAAAUAUAUGUAAAGCAUACAUCUGAUAAAGGAAUAUUAUCCAAAAUAUAUAAAGAACUAUUAAAACUCAAUAAUAUGAAAACAAAUAAUCUGAUUUUAAAAUGUGCCGAAGACUUUAACAGACAUCUCACCAAAGAUAUACAAACGGAAAAUAAUUAUAUGAAAAGAUUCUCCACAUCACAUAUCAUCCAAAAACAAAACAGAUCAAAACAAAAAUAAGAUAUCACCAUACAACGGCUAAAAUUCAGAACACUGAUAAUACCAAAUGUUGUUGAGAAUGCGAUAGGAAUGGAAAAUGGUACAGCCAUGUUGGAAGACAGUGUGGCAGUUUCUUAUAAAACUAAACAUAUUCUUACCAUAAAAUAGAGCAAACACAUUGUUUGGUAUUUACCCAAAGGAACUGAAAGCUUAUGUCCACACAAAAACCUGCACAAAGAUAUUUAGAGAGCUUUAUUCAUAAUUGCCAAAACCUGCAAACAACCAAGACGUCUUUUAAUAGGUGAAUAGAUAAUAAAACAUGAUACAACCAGAUAAUGCAACAUUAUUUAACAUUGAAAGGGAAUGCCAUGCACAAAAAUAAACUCAAAGUGGUUUAAAGACUUACAUGUAAGACAAGACAUCAUUAAACACCUAGAAGAGAACACAGGCAAAACAUUCUCUGAUAUCAACCUUACAAAUGUUUUCUCAGUCAGUCUCCCAAAGCAACAGAAAUAA